AAGCCCUGUAGUGUAAACACAUUAGAUUGCAAACCUAAAGAUGCGCGCUUUUACCGUCCAGCGACUU
rnacentral:tRNA from 1 species